UCCCUGGUGGCUCAGAGGGUAAAGCGUCUGCCUGCAACGCAGGAGACCUGGGUUUGAUCCUAGGUCGGGAA
rnacentral:tRNA from 1 species